CUCAGUCAAACACAUCUUUGUUGCUGUUUUAAAGUGUUAAAUAAAUUCCAAUUUAAUGAAACACAAGCGUCCAUAAAUAAUGCAGUAUGACAACUAAAACUUGUUCAAAGAAAGAAAGACAGGAGACAGUCGGCCUGCCCUCGUGCUCGCAGACAUGCGCGGUUUGUGUCGGUGAAGUUGUAAAAUAAGCGCAGCCAUAAAUAAAGUCUUCUUCUCUCUGUCUGUUUCCCCCACAGGCUCUGACUUGUCCUGGUGGCCUUUCUGCACACAGUCCAACUGAUACAUCGACACAAAGAAUCUAUUUUUACUUUUACUUCACCCCCCACCCCCCAGCGCCUCCCUCGGAGCUUCUGCCUUGACAGUCGCGCAGUCAGACAGUGAGGACACGGGUGCCAGAAAGUUCUCUUCCUUCGUAUUUUUACUGCGCUGGAAUGAACUUUUUGUUGAGAUUUUACUUCUUUUUUUGUUUUGUUUUGUCCCCCCCCCCUCCUCCACCCCCUCCAUCUGUGCGGGCGGGACGCUCUCCUUCCUCCGCUCUUUGUGGGAACGGGAAGCAGAGGAAUUGUUCUGGUGCUGACGGGGUUUAAUCAUUGAUGAGCUGCAACAGUCGGAACAGGACAGGCGCGGCCCACGGCGUAGGACACAUUCCACGGUAACGCUAUUCUCACUCACGCAAGGCCCGAGCGUGAUCGUCGCGGCCUGCGGGCAGACAUGACAGAGGAGCCGCGCAGGCUGAUUGAUCCCAAAGCUGCGGUCACGCGGUGCGUCUUUACGCAACAAAGAGAGUGCGCAGAUGAGAGGCACUGUAAGAACGAGAGAGGGACUCGGACCAGAAACGGACUAUUUAGCGGUGGUCCAUUCGACAGAAGAGGAUCAUUUUUGAGCCCUAAAGCUAUAUUACUAAUAUUUUUACCUUUAAUACUAUUUACCAAAUUACACAUUUUCGAGGCUCGUGUGACAUAAAUAGACUGAAAAACGGCAAAGGUUUCAUGGAAAAAAAUGAAUUUCUUACGGAUUCACCGGCGGGACCAUAAAUGAGUAGUGAGGCCUUUCUUGUCACGUUCUCCAAACCGGAUAUGCCCCGAUCCCACCGAGCUCGCUCGCACUAAGUUAGACUUCUGCGUAGAGCUGCCACAGCAACUCCAGGAAUGCGAGAAACUUCGGAGAUUAUCGACAAUUAAAGCAGUAGGACUGGCACUGCAGCUUUAUGGCUUUAUGGCUCCUCUCGGCCUCUUGUGUGAAAGCGCGUGCGCGCGAGACACACAGCGAAAGUGAGAAAUUGGAACUUUUAUGGCUUUAUGGCUCCGUGUGAAGUCGAGAAAUGACCGCAAACUGAAAAACAGACCCGCUACAAACAGCAGAUGGACAAAUGUUCUGUGUACAUGUGAGGAAUGCACACACGCACGCACCACGCACGUACACAGGCGAACAUUGCAUGUAUAUGUAUAUGUUUACACGCAGACUGACAUUGAAACCAAUACGUUUUCCCUCACGGUCCCUCAAGCCUUCCUGUUUUUUUCCUCCUCCUCUGGCUUGACCUCGGUGGUGUCAGUUAAUAACAAACUUGAAUAAACUCCUAGGCUUGCUCUUUUUCAAAUGAAUAAAUGGUUUCCUGGCAAUGCGAGGCGGCUGACCGAUUCUUUCAGGGUACCCAGAGCUCGCGCUCCGGGUCAGUUCACCGGACAAUCACCGGUUGAAGCGGUCCGUGGGCUUCACAGGGGUCCUUCACAGGGAGUUAAACAUUAAUGGAACCAAUGAGUGCGCAACCGUGCGUUCUGAAAAAAAUACUGAUACAUUUUAAAAUAAAGUAGAACUAAUAUAAUCUUGUUUAAAAAAAAUACAUCAAA